rnacentral:rRNA from 1 species
AGCUCCAAUAGCGUAUAUUAAAGUUGUUGCGGUUAAAAGCUCGUAGUUGGAUUUCUGCUGAGGACAACCGGUCCGCCCUCUGGGUGAGCAUCUGGAUUGGCCUGGGCAUCAUCUUGGAGAACGUUACUGCACUUGACUGCGUGGUUCGGUAUCCUGGACAUUUACUUUGAGGAAAUUAGAGUGUUUCGAGCAGGCGCACGCCCUGAAUAUAUUAGCAUGGAAUAAUAAUAUAGGACCUCGGCUCUAUUUUGUUGGUUUCUAGAGCUGAGGUAAUGAUUAAUAGGGAUAGUUGGGGGGCAUUUGUAUUUAAUUGUCAGAGGUGAAAUUCUUGGAUUUAUUAAAGACAGACUACUGCGAAAGCAUUUGCCAAGGAUG